AACGUAGGUGGCGAGCGUUAUCCGGAUUUACUGGGCGUAAAGGGUGUGCAGGCGGGCCGUUAAGUGGUGUAUGAAAUAUCCCGGCUCAACCGGGAGAGGUUAUGCCAGACUGGCAGUCUAGAGAGCGAGAGAGGGACGUGGAAUUCCGGGUGUAGUGGUGAAAUGCGUAGAGAUCCGGAGGAACCCCAGAGGCGAAGGCGGCGUCCUGGCUCGCAUCUGACGCUCAGACACGACAGCAUGGGGAGCGAACGGG
rnacentral:rRNA from 1 species